AACGAACGCUGGCGGCAGGCUUAACACAUGCAAGUCGAACGCCCCGCAAGGGGAGUGGCGCACGGGUGAGUAACGCGUGGGAACCUACCUAUCGGUACGGAAUAACACAGGGAAACUUGUGCUAAUACCGUAUGAGCUCUACGGAGGAAAGAUUUAUCGCCGAAAGAUGGGCCGGCGUCCGAUUAGCUAGUUGGUGAGGUAACGGCUCACCAAGGCUUCGAUCGGUAGCUGGUCUGAGAGGAUGAUCAGCCACACUGGGACUGAGACACGGCCCAGACUCCUACGGGAGGCAGCAGUGGGGAAUAUUGGACAAUGGGCGCAAGCCUGAUCCAGCCAUGCCGCGUGAGUGAUGAAGGCCUUAGGGUUGUAAAGCUCUUUCGUCGGGGAAGAUAAUGACGGUACCCGAAGAAGAAGCCUCGGCUAACUCCGUGCCAGCCGCCGCCGUAA
rnacentral:rRNA from 1 species